AGCUGGGCGGUACAUGUUGCCAGACAGAGUGAUGGCAGGUGGGCCAAAAUGUUAACGGAAUGGUGGCCGCUUUCAGACGAAAGGAGUGCCUGGCGUCCGUUGGCUCGUUGAGUGGACGACAUUCGGAAGACUGCGGGUCACUUCUGGAUGAGAUUGGCUCAGGACCGGGAUAAUGGCGUACUCGAAGAGAGGCCUAUGCUCAGCAGUGGGCGAUAAAAGGCUGAUAUGUUGAUGAUGAUGUA